rnacentral:ncRNA from 1 species
CCAUGUGAACAUCACUUGGACAUGGGUUAGUCGAUCCUAAGAGAUGGGGAAUCCUUGUAUCAAGGGUGCACUCUGCAUGAACAUCAAAAGAGAAUUGGGUUAAUAUUCCCGAACUGGGACAUGGUGGUGGAUGACAAUGUUUGGAAAUCUGGAGUUGUCAUCGGGGGCCUGGGAAGAGUUAUCUUUUAUUUUUAACGACUUCCCCACCCUGAAAUCAGUUGGGACAUGGUGGUGGAUGACAAUGUUAGGAAAUCUGGAGAUGUCAUCGGGGGCCUGGGAAGAGUUGUCUUUUCUUUUUAACGACUUUCCCACCCUGAAAUCAGUUCAACCAGAGAUAGGGUCCAACAUCUGGAAGAGCACCACAUGUCUUGCGGUGUUUGGUGCCCCUCGGUGGCCAUUGAAAAUAUGGAGAACUAAGUACCAUCCAUGCCCGAUCAUACUCAUAUCUGCCUCC